rnacentral:rRNA from 1 species
UACAGAGGUCUCGAGCGUUGUUCGGAUUCAUUGGGCGUAAAGGGUGCGUAGGUGGCGCCGUAAGUCGGGUGUGAAAUUUCGGAGCUUAACUCCGAAACUGCAUUCGAUACUGCGGUGCUUGAGGACUGGAGAGGAGACUGGAAUUCAUGGUGUAGCAGUGAAAUGCGUAGAGAUCAUGAGGAAGACCAGUGGCGAAGGCGGGUCUCUGGACAGUUCCUGACACUGAGGCACGAAGGCCAGGGGGAGCAAACGGG